UACAGAGGUCCCAAGCGUUGUUCGGAUUCACUGGGCGUAAAGGGCGCGUAGGCGGGAUGGCAAGUCAGUCGUGAAAUCUCUCGGCUCAACCGAGAAACGUCGGCUGAUACUGCCGUUCUUGAGGGAUGCAGAGGAGACUGGAAUUCCCGGUGUAGCGGUGAAAUGUGUAGAGAUCGGGAGGAACACCGGUGGCGAAGGCGGGUCUCUGGGCAUCUCCUGACGCUGAGGCGCGAAAGCGUGGGGAGCAAACGGG
rnacentral:rRNA from 1 species